rnacentral:tRNA from 1 species
CGGGGCGUAGCGCAGAUGGGAGCGCGUGUGGUUCGGGACCAUAAGGUCGCAGGUUCAAGUCCUGUCGCCCCGACCA